GACAGGUCAUGAUCACUGGCCGUGGCAGACUGAAAAUCGGAAGGUCGGCGGUUCGACCCCGCCCCUGGCCA
rnacentral:tRNA from 1 species